rnacentral:lncRNA from 1 species
GUUAGGGUUCAUAAAGCUCAACUUUUAAACAUGUGUGAGACAGGGGUGGGGAGUGGAUGCGUGUGCACCACAGAGUGCCUGAGGAUGACACAGUACAGCAUGCAGGAAGUCCAUCUCCUUCCACCAGGCGUGUCCUACGGCUUAAUCUCAGGUCAUCAAGCCUAGCAGCAAGUGUCAGCCCUGAGACUUGUGUUCUGAUUCACACAUAUACUUGGAGCAUGCAGAGAGAACUGUCACUGGGCAGACUCAACAAGGCAGGCAAGAUCGAUACUUCUGAGCUCAAGAGUAGGCCGCUAGGCAGUAUCUCCCUGUGGCCCGCAAGGGUGCCAACUCUAGAGGCUAGCUGUGUUCCUGUCCCUCAAGGACACGUGUCCCUAGCAGUAACUGAAAGUUGCUUGUCUUCCCUGGUCAGCGUCCAGAGUGUGAAGAUAAAACAGCCAGAAGUUAAAGCAGGGACCCACCCUGUAGCACAGCCUUGACCUGCUGACUUGGGAUAUCCUGCACAACCCCAGUGACCCACAGCUCCUGACCCGAUGGCAGUGCUGGCCCUCAGAUGCAGACCCAGAGAGGCCCAGGCGUGCAACAGUUACCUGCCCCAGCUGCAGGGGGGGUUUCUAGCCCCUCUCAGCCAAGGCACACCCUCAGGGAGCCCACUCACUGUGGCUGCACUAUGUUAUGUUUAAUAAAUCUUUUACAUCUG